UGCCAGACUCCUACGGGAGGCAGCAGUGGGGAAUAUUGCACAAUGGGGGAAACCCUGAUGCAGCAACGCCGCGUGAGUGAAGAAGUAUUUCGGUAUGUAAAGCUCUAUCAGCAGGGAAGAAAAUGACGGUACCUGAGUAAGAAGCCCCGGCUAACUACGUGCCAGCAGCCGCGGUAAUACGUAGGGGGCAAGCGUUAUCCGGAUUUACUGGGUGUAAAGGGAGCGUAGACGGCGAUACAAGUCUGAAGUGAAAGCCCGGGGCUCAACCCCGGGACUGCUUUGGAAACUGUGUUGCUGGAGUGCUGGAGAGGCAAGCGGAAUUCCUAGUGUAGCGGUGAAAUGCGUAGAUAUUAGGAAGAACACCAGUGGCGAAGGCGGCUUGCUGGACAGUAACUGACGUUGAGGCUCGAAAGCGUGGGGAGCAAACAGGAUUAGAUACCCUAGUA
rnacentral:rRNA from 1 species